rnacentral:rRNA from 1 species
UACGGAGGGUGCGAGCGUUGUCCGGAAUUAUUGGGCGUAAAGCGCGCGUAGGCGGUUACUUAAGUCGGAUGUGAAAGCCCUCGGCUUAACUGAGGAAGUGCACCCGAAACUGAGUAGCUAGAGUACGAAAGAGGGUCGCGGAAUUCCCGGUGUAGAGGUGAAAUUCGUAGAUAUCGGGAGGAACACCGGUGGCGAAGGCGGCGACCUGGGUCGAGACUGACGCUGAGGCGCGAAAGCGUGGGGAGCAAACAGG